UGGCGAAAUCCAACCAAGCUCGGGUAAACGGCGGGAGUAACUAUGACUCUCUCACCCCCUUAAAUAUGGCGCUCACCAAUGCUCAAAUCUUGGCUGUGAUUGACAGCUGGGAAGAAACAGUCGGUCAGUUUCCAGUGAUAACGCACCAUGUACCAUUAGGUGGCGGUCUGCAAGGAACGCUCCAUUGUUACGAGAUCCCCCUAGCAGCUCCUUAUGGGGUUGGCUUUGCUAAGAAUGGGCCUACCCGCUGGCAAUACAAACGGACAAUCAAUCAAGUCGUCCACAGAUGGGGAUCCCACACAGUCCCUUUUCUAUUAGAACCGGAUAACAUCAACGGCAAAACCUGCACAGCAUCGCACCUAUGUCAUAAUACUCGAUGCCACAAUCCCUUGCACUUGUGCUGGGAGUCACUAGACGACAACAAAGGCAGAAACUGGUGCCCGGGUCCAACGGGGGAUGUGUCCAUGCGGUGGUUUGUUUAAGGCAGGGUCCGUUGUACGCCCGGGGGCGACUGUGGCAGGUCCUCAACAAAGGGGCAGUCACUUUGUGGUAUAAGGUCUGAGGUUACUAGAUCGGGUGGGUCAGCCCACGGGCAAAACGCUGACCGUACCAAGUAGGAGAGAAAAGUCACAGGUAGGCACCUGGUGGCUAGUGGCAUGCACAAUAGCUUGCAUCGUGCAUGUUGCGAGACCGUCAAAUUGCGGGAAAGGGGUCACACAGCUGUCUAGUACUAACCCACCGGCGAAAGCGGGGUGGGGGCCUUGCACAGGAUAUAGUAAUAAGCUAGCAGACACGGUCCUAACCACGCAGCCAAGCCCUAACCAAACACACACUGUGUGUUUGUAUGGGUGCAGUUCACAGACUAAAUGUCGGUCGGGGGCUUCGGCCUCAUAAGAUAUAGUCGGCCCUUCCCUUAAUGGGGACCUGGAGAAGAGGUGAUGCAACACCAGAGCUCCGGAGACUCGGGGGUAGCACCCGAGUUUGGAAUCAGCGUAAGGUAGCCAAAUGCCUCGUCAU
rnacentral:ncRNA from 1 species